rnacentral:rRNA from 1 species
UACAGAGGCCUCGAGCGUUAGGCGGAAUCACUGGGCUUAAAGCGUGUGUAGGCGGACUUCUAAGUACCUUGUGAAAUCCCACGGCUUACCCGUGGAACGGCUGGGUAUACUGGUUGUCUUGAGCCACUUAGGGGCUACCGGAACAAAUGGUGGAGCGGUGAAAUGCGUAGAUAUCAUUUGGAACGCCAAUGGUGAAAACAACUCGCUGGGGGUGUGCUGACGCUGAGACACGAAAGCCAGGGGAGCGAACGGG